rfam:Myotis brandtii contig190630, whole genome shotgun sequence.
GGCCCGUUAGCUCAGUUGGUUAGAGCAUUGGCCCGAUAAGCCAAGUUUGCAGGUUCAAUCCCCAGUCGGGGCA